GCCUCUGUGGUGAAAGGGAUAUCACAAGAACCUUCUAAGUUGGAAUUCCUGGUUCGAAUCCAGGCAG
rnacentral:tRNA from 1 species